UGCAGGUUAUUCUCCCAUUCUCUGUCGCCAUGGUCUCCAUCGCUCUUAAACCUUCGUUUCUAUCCCUGUCAAAUCUUGGUUCGUUGGAAAAAUUCGAAGCAAUUUAAGCUUCUUCAGCUUUUUGAUUUGGAUUGAAGAUGAUUUUAAGUAAAAAAGGUUAACGUUUUCUGUUUUCAACUUCAGGAAACGGUGGUGUUGCAAUUUUGGGGUUUCUUGUGCAACCUUGGAACCACUUUGGGCUCAAGGUAUAUAAAAGGAGACGUUAUUCUUCGUUUAUUGGGGCUUUUGUGUGAAGCUUUCAAAGCCCUUUGUGCUCAAGCCUUCUGUUAACCAAUAUAGGUCUAUUCAUUCUGGUAAUGCUGCAAAUGGACAAAUCACAUCAGAGUGCUCUGGUACCCCAUUGUUACCUGAUUUCAUGGAUUCAUUUAUCUCCAUAACUAUUAUCUGUCUGCUGCCUAUUACUAUGGAGGUAAAACUUAUGAGUGAACUCUUUGUUUUAGAUUGGUUUAUUUAUGGAUUGUCAGAUUCUUCUUUAAAUUCAUAUGUGUGGUAUGAAUGGUUUUCUGAAUUUCUUUUAGGCUAUGAUGAGACUAGCAAUGAGUACUUGAGAUAUGUAAAUCCUGAGGGAGUAGAAAUGAUUUCUAAAGAAGGAGGAACGUCCAAACUGGGGUAAGGUGCAGUUAAGGAUGUUUAAGAUCUUUAUGAGGUUGUGCACCAUGACAUCCUUUCUAUGGACCUGAGGUCAGUCAAACAUGUGUUAUAUGCGUAUGGGUAGAGUUUCCAUUGCUUGAUUCUCCUCUACUUAUAUCACUUUAUUGGCUGCCAAUUUUAGGGGAAAUUAUAAGACAUGGAAAUUGUUGCCAAAUGCGAGGACAUAAGGUUGUCUAUUUGCAAAGUUAUGUUGAAGUGGCACAAGGACCCUAAGUUGGUAUGUUUAAGUAGGUUACCUGAUCUCCUUAGUUGGGUUUAGGUUUAAUGCUCAGUGGUAUGUUGUGCUUGUACUUCUUUUUAAUUAUCAA